UUUUCUUACUUUCAGAGACCAUCUUUAAUUUCUAUACCAACAGCCUUUUCAGAUCAUAAGAUGGACAACAAAUUAAAAGUGUAUCUUACUGAUCUAGGGAGGAGGAACUUUCUGAUGUACCAAAAUGGGGCAAAUACAAGGAACAUCCAAGCCCAAGUCAUGAAAUCUAACCUCGUUUCCACUUCAGGUAAAAAAUAAUCAACUUUUGAUUAAACCCUGGCUUACUGUACAAAAUCUCAGCAGAAGACCAAAUGAACAUUUUGUUUUUAAAUUACUGAAACCAAAUUCUACAAUGUAUGCUAUCUCAUCUGUUUUCCAACACUGGAAAACCAUAUGCAUAUAAAAGACAAUAUGCAUCAUUUCCCUCUGUAGGAACAUUUUCUCCUCUUUCACAUUGCUUACAUCAACAUUUAUAUAAAAUUAGUAGGAAAUAAAUAUUUGGGUCCAAUUCUGUAACCCUUAUACAUAGGAGGAGUCCCACUACAGUCACUAGUACUAAUCACAUGAGUAAAGCUUGCAGGACUGGGUACUUAGUAAUUUGUACAAAAAAAUGUGCUAAGAAAUUGCAUUUCCCUUCUGCAGGUUGUGGUCCUGUAAUGGACAGAAAACAACUCAGCUACAUCAAAGUCAUAGACUCCAUCAAACCCUGGAGAACUGCUGGCAAGCCCUUUGUGUGCGACCGAUUCAGUCUCUGGGCUAGUUAGAGGAAAGGACAGAAGAAAAUGAAGCCCAAAACAGAUCAUCGCAGCUACUGUGUCCCUCCUGUUUCACUAACCAGCCAGUACAAAUCCAGGGUGCCUUGCUAGGUUUUGUCUACUGUAGCUUCUUUCCUUCAUCUGCCAUGAAAAACAUUCAAUCAAUGAGGAGUGUUGAUUUUUACUUCUUACAGUACCUUUUAAAAGCGGAGAGUAAUUAGACUGGUGUGACACAACUGUCCUACAUCUGCAGUCUCCCUUCCAUGCCUGUUGGGGAAUUGUUAUAAUUUUUAAUGUGAGCCAAAGUAUCUUACAUUUUAUAUAGCUCCUUUCAUCCUAAAGUGCUGACCAAACUGUAUACAGAAUACUCCACUUUAAUGAUAUCACUGACUUGCAUAUCCCGCAUAUCCAUGAAAGGGUUCUUCACUGGUUCAGUUGGAUUCCUUGUGUUAUUCCACUUAGCUGUAUUUGCCUAGCUGUAUUCAGAACUGAGGUCCAAAUGCUGCUUGUUACAGUGUAAUCACUUUGGAUGACUGAACAAUCAGGAUACUAGUCAAACUGCACCUAUUUAUUCAUCAUGCUCUUAAAGACAUGACAGUUCAUAUGCAUGACAGAAUGGGUGAAACAGCUAUAUCUCCUGCUAGCACAGCAUCUUGCAUGUGCAGUGGAUGGCCAUAAAAAAGCCCUGCUACUGGUGUCACAGUCUGUAUAGACAUUCAAGCCCUCUCCUUACAUUACACACGUAUGCAUGGAACUUCCUGUCAUUCCACGUAAAUAUCUAGUGGAGGAACAAGACUUCUAUACUGCCAAGUGGAGCAAGAUACUAGAGUAGUUAUAGUGGCACAGCAAUUGGGAGUUCAAAUUUUAUUAGACCCAGGCUUAAAUCCUUAACUUUUUUUAAAGAUUGAUUGGUAUGUAUGUUGAGACUAAGAUAAAAGGAUUAUUUUUAAAAUGUAGAUCCAGGGAAUCUGAGUAUUUCUAAACUGGGGCACCAAAUCCUGAGGUUCUU
ensembl:lncRNA